rnacentral:lncRNA from 14 species
AGUUCUCAAAAUUCCUAUCAGUUUCACUCAGAGCCAUAACUGCCUACAAUUAAAAAAAAAUAAAAUAAAAAGGGCAAGGAUUUAAAACUUUCCAGCUUAAACCAAGAUAACUGGAGAUAUAACUGGAGAUAAUAGACUAUCUUACUACACAGGGAGCUUUCUUUUGCUCUUGUAUAUGUCAUUUGAGAGGUCAGCAUGGAUUUCCCCAUGACAGCACUAAAGAACUGGUCUGAAUGCCACUAUUUAGCCUUUUUUUAAAUGUAUUUAUCUUUAUCAUAGCUGCUGCUGUGUUCUGCCAUAACUUCAAGCCAUGUGGAUACUCUCUACAGGAGUCCACCCCUUUUACCUAUGGCUGUUUACUGAAACCUGAAGGAAGAAAAAGUCCCACCAGUAUUAAAAUACAUCAUGAAGACGCGGGAGUUAGACCUGAAGCACGCUUGGAAGGCAUGAAAUAACUGUGGACAGCUUCAGUUCUGCAUUAAUGAUGCUUUCCCCAGUGAAUGUAAAAUUUCUCAAUGAAUUUAUGAGCCUCCCAGAUGCUGGAGCUAACCAAGGAUUGUCUCCCACUCUAUAAGUACUAAAAUGAUGCAGAAGAUGAGCUCGGAGGUGCUAAAUCAUCAUGGUUUAAUCCUUGUGAUUCAAGGAUUAGAAAACUAAGGGAACUAAUCCCUUGGUCAAUCACCCUAAUCAAACGCCCUUUGAACUAGACUUAUGCAGGAAUUCGAAUUAACAUAGCCUGAGGUCAGAAAUAUUAUUUUUCUGCUUUGUUUUUUUUUUUCUCUUUUAAUGAAAAUACCUAAUCCCAAAUAACUCUAUGGCAAACCAUUUCUCAGCACUAUUGUCUAGAAAGAACUGUUUAACCAUUUGCCUCUUAAAAUCAUGCAUCAGUUUUUAUGUAAAAAGGAAUAUUUGAAUGGGUUUAAUUAUAAAAUAGAGGAUAAAAUAUAGAGGAUAAAAUAGAGGAUAAAACAAAGGAUAAAAUAGAGAAUAAAAGAAGAUGAGAUGUACCUCUAUUUAUUAUA